GGAGCAGUUGCGGCGAGGAGAGCAUCAUCGAUUGGUGGAACAGAUGCCGCGAGGAGGAGAGCAUGAGGCGGAACAGAUGCGGCCAGCAGCAGAGCAUCCUCGCUUGCAGAAGGCGGAACAGAUGCGACAAGAAGGAGAGCUUCCUCUUUAGCAACCGAUACGGAGAGAAGAAGAGCAGCUACCAGAAAGGAGGUACCAUAUUGGAUCUGUGUUGAGGUACUCAAUAACUAGUUCUUUUAUAUAAUUGUUCUAUAGCACAAUGUACAAGCGCUCUUUUCUCUUUGCGGGAGCAACGUACAAGCGCUCCUCCUGGGUACAACACUCUUGGUUUGGUUUGUCCCACGAUAAAAUUGCAGCGCCCGAUUUAGUUUGGAAAGUUCUAAAGUUCUGUGUGUGUGUGUGUGUGUGAGGGUG
rnacentral:lncRNA from 1 species